rfam:Schistosoma mattheei strain Denwood, Zambia genome assembly, scaffold: SMTD_contig0004349
AUCCUGCUGACGAGUCCUUAAUAGAAUGAAACGCGCGUCCUGGAU